CUUCACGCCACCAUGUAGAGGAAUGCUACAUAGAUGUAACAUUUUGAGAAGAUCAAGUUGCUGACUAAAGAGAAUGUCGAGCUGACUAAAGAGAAGGUCGAGCUGAGGACACAGCUGGCUCUACAAUCAGGAGCAAUUAGGAAGAAUCCUUCCAACCAGGAUGCCACUG